UUAUUUUUCUUGUUUGCUCUGAUAUGUAUGUCUUAAGCAACUGUUUUUUUGAACUGCUAGAGGAAAUCAUUUUGAACCUUUGGCCUGGUGAUAUCUCAUGGAUCCAAUAUGUUUCACCCAAUUAAAAUUCUGAUCAUGAAGAUAAGUGACGUUGAAUGUUUGUGAAUGCUAGCCCGAUGAUAGCUUGACAUGUCGGCAAAUUUUGUUAUCAGUCUAUGUUAAUUACCCCUUGAAGCAUCAUGGGUUGUAUGUUUCCUGUUGUCAUUGCCUUCGACGCACAAUGACUGCUG
rnacentral:lncRNA from 1 species